UACGGAGGGUGCGAGCGUUGUCCGGAAUCACUGGGCGUAAAGGGCGCGUAGGUGGCGCGGUCAGUCAACGGUGAAAGUUCGGGGCUCAACCCUGAAUCGGCCGUCGAUACUCCCGGGCUUGAGCACUGUAGAGGCAGAUGGAAUUCCGGGUGUAGCGGUGGAAUGCGUAGAGAUCCGGAAGAACACCGGUGGCGAAGGCGGUCUGCUGGGCAGUUGCUGACACUGAGGCGCGACAGCGUGGGGAGCGAACGGG
rnacentral:rRNA from 1 species